GCAGCCACCACCUCAUGCUCUCUUUCCAUCAUCUUGCGCACGCCGUUCGCGAUAACUGCCGCUUUAACUAUCCCGCGCGACGACUUUUACUGUAUUUUCUUCUUGUUUGCUUCACUGCGAAUUCGCUGUUGGGCACACCUCCUUUCCCUUGUGCAUUUGCGUGCACCUCUUUGGCGCGCAUCGUUUUGCUCGUGCUGUGUGUCUUGACUUCGCGGCUCUGCUCCCCUACGCCAUGAGCUCCCUGGCUGGUGCUCGCCCGCGUGCCGUUGAGUGCGACUCUCUGCCACCACCUCCUCCCUCUACGGGACGAUAUAUAUAUAUAUAUAUAUUCAGCCCAUCAAGCACAUGUGUGCCCGAGUACACAUUAGCCUUUCGGAUACCCCCGUGCAGUGUCACUUUUUUUAUCGCUCUCGCUUCGAUUUCUUAUUACACGUCUCCGUGCACCCGCGUCUGAUGACAGGGAGGGGGCGCACGCCUCAGCGCGUCGUAUCCUCAGGGCCCCGCACACCGACUCCGCCGGGAAGCCAGGCAGCCUCCCAGCCCCCUAUCCAUUGCCCAUGCCGAGCUACUUCCGGCGGUGACACGGUCACGCGCCCACGAAGUGGGGUGGGGGUGGAGGUGAGAGCGAUGUGCUGCUGCUGAUGUCUGCGGUGGGAGACUGGAUGGCGCUGCGUCGGAGCGGGCUGCGGCAGCGAGCACGUCUGCGCCGCCCACAUGAUGGACGAGGCGUGAGCGUGGCUGGAGGAUAUCCCACCCGGCGCUGGCACUGCCUCCUGGUGUGGGGAGCCUGCGCCACGGCGAGGGGGAUGCGCCAGGAGGGGUGGCGGCCGGCGGAGCGGGUGGUUUGCAGAGCUGGAGGCAGCGGCCGUGCUUGUGUGCCUGGGUGGGCGCAGCGCUGUGACGCGUGUGCCCACCGCUGCCUCGUCCCGCGCGGUGUGACCUGUGGCAUGUGACGGGGAGAGGUGGGGGCGCAUCGCGGAGGUGGAGUCGUGUUGCGCGGCAGAGGAUGGAGGUGGUGGGGAAAAGCUGAUCGCGGGAGUCGAACGAAGCAG
rnacentral:misc_RNA from 1 species